rnacentral:rRNA from 1 species
CGGGACGGGUGAGUAAUGCUUGGGAAUCUGGCUUAUGGAGGGGGAUAACUACGGGAAACUGUAGCUAAUACCGCGUAGUAUCGAGAGAUUAAAGUGUGGGACCUUCGGGCCACAUGCCAUAGGAUGAGCCCAAGUGGGAUUAGGUAGUUGGUGAGGUAAAGGCUCACCAAGCCGACGAUCUCUAGCUGGUCUGAGAGGAUGACCGGCCACACUGGGACUGAGACACGGCCCAG